rnacentral:lncRNA from 1 species
CAUUACUUUCUUUUCAAUAAUCACCUCUCAGUUUUUCAUCAAUCACUCAAUUCCGAAUUUCAUCUCCAUUCUCUUUCGAAGAAGAACGCACGAAGAAUUUUAGCUUGCUUUCGCUGCUUCUCGAAUAUUGGGUAUUGUUUCCUUUAAUUUAGAUAAUUUUUUUUAUAUCUCUCUUUCAAGUUUGAUAAUUUAGGGUUAUACUUGAAUUAAUUGUAUUUUUAAUCAACCAAGGUUGAUUUAAUUGAUUCCAAGUCUCAAUUUCCUGUUCAACAAACAGAGAACGCACAAAUAAUUUUCAUUUUCAUACUCAAUUUUGAAAGAAUCAAUUUAUUUUAUCUUUGGUUAGUACACUUCUGUUCAAUUUUUGUUUAUUUAACUUAAGAUAUCUUUUUCUUUCUUUUCUUCAAGCAGAUUAUAGAUUAUAUUGAGAACAGAGCUUUCUCCUUAAUUCCGCCAAGAGCAACAUUGAUUUCAGGUGAUAAUUGAAUGUGUAAUAUUUUCAAUUGAAAUUAAUUGAGUCUCGUAAUAAUAAUAGGGAUUUGAGAUUUACAUCCUGUUGAAAUGAUUUUAGAGUGUUCUGCUAUUUGAAUGCGCA